AUGAAGUCACUCAAUCGCUCGCAGAGGAGCCGAUUUCCCAUACCUUUCUUUGGUUUGGCUCUUGUACUACUGGUCUUCUUGGCUUCUCCCACCAGAUCCUGCACAGAGCAGGAGAAGAGUUCCCUUCUCCAGCUUCUUGCUGGGCUCUCGCAGGAUGGUGGUCUCACGGCAUCAUGGCGGAGCAACACGGACUGCUGCAGGUGGGAAGGGAUCAGCUGCAGCCUGAAUAGGAUGGUCACUGAUGUUGUGCUAGCUUAUCGAGGGCUCGAGGGGUCCAUUUCGCCGUUUCUAGGCAACCUCACCAGCUUGUUGCGAUUCGAUCUCUCCCACAACUUGCUGUCUGGUGGCUUACCGCUAGAAUUGUUGCAGUCCAGCAGCAUCCUUGUCCUUGACGUCAGUUUUAACCGCCUGACAGGAGGCCUGAGUGAGCUGCCAUCUUCCACCCCUGUGCGGCCUCUGCAGGUACUAAACAUCUCGAGCAACUUGUUUACAGGAAGAUUUCCAUCCACUAUAUGGGAGGUGAUGAAGAGCCUCGUUGCCCUCAAUGCCAGCACCAACAGUUUUACCGGGCAGAUGCCAACUAUGUCUUGUGUUAGCGCGCCAUCUUUUGCAGUGCUUGAGCUCAGUUUUAACAAAUUCAGUGGAAACAUUCCUCCAGGACUCAGCAAUUGCUCCCUGCUGAAAUUGCUCAGCGCUGGCAACAACCACCUCAGUGGAACACUUCCAGAUGAACUCUUCAAGGUUACCACAUUAGAGCACCUCUCGUUACCUUUCAAUUGGUUAGAAGGAGAGCUCAAAGGCAUCAUCAAUCUAACAAAUCUGGUCACCCUUGAUCUUGGGAAGAAUGAGUUCAGAGGCAACAUACCAGAAUCUAUAGGUGAGCUGAAGAAGUUGGAGGAGCUUCUCUUGGAUCACAACAGCAUGUCAGGGGAGCUUCCGUCAGCGCUGAGCAACUGCACAAACCUCGUAACGCUUGACCUCAAGGUAAACCAUUUUAACGGAGAAUUUACCAAGAUCAACUUUUUAAGCCUGCCCAAUCUAAAAAUAUUAGAUAUUCUUUCCAACGACUUCACUGGCACAAUUCCAGAAAGCAUAUACUCCUGCAGCAAGCUAACCGCACUACGGCUAUCUUUCAAUCAUUUCCAUGGCCAAUUGUCAGAAAAGAUAGGCAAUCUGAAGUCUCUCUCGUUUCUAGCACUUGUUAACCUCUCCCUUACGAAUAUCACAAGAACACUUCAGAUCCUUGGGAGUUCCAGGAGCCUCACCACUAUUUUUAUUGGGUUCAAUUUCCUUCAUGAGACCAUGCCAGAGGAUGACAACAUUGGUGGUUUUGAGAAUCUUCAGGUUCUUUCUAUGAAUUAUUGUUCAUUGUCUGGAACAUUACCUGGUUGGUUAUCAAAGCUCACCAAGUUGGGGAUGCUAUUUUUGCAAAGCAAUCAACUUACUGGACCAAUACCUGACUGGAUCAGCAGCCUAAAGUUGCUCUUCUAUCUAGACUUAUCAAACAACAGCUUUACGGGGGAAAUUCCAACUGCCUUAAUGGAGAUGCCAAUGCUAAAAUCAGACAAGACUGCACCGAAGAUCUUCUCUGAGCUGCCUCUUUAUUUUUUCAGUCCAUUUGUCGAAUACCUCAAACCUGGUGCUUUUCCAAAAGUGCUCAAUCUAGGCAUCAAUAAUUUCACUGGUGUGAUCCCAGAGGAGAUCGGUCAGUUACAAGGGCUCCUUUUACUCAAUUUGAGUUCCAACAAAUUAUCUGGAGAGAUUCCACAACAGAUAGGCACCUUGACGAACCUGCAGCUGCUCGACUUGUCCAGCAACCAUUUCACUAGUACAAUUCCGGCCACACUAAACAAUCUGCACUUCCUUUCCAAAUUCAACAUUUCUAAUAAUGACCUCGAAGGCUCUAUUCCAACUGCGGGCCAGCUUAGCACAUUUCCAGAUUCUAGCUUUGAUGGAAACCCAAAAUUGUGUGGUCUGAUGAUUGUAAACCAUUGCGGUUCAGCAGAAGCAGCUUCAGAGUCCAUCAUCUCCAGAGAACAAAUUGGCAGUAAGGUCAUCUUUGCGAUCGCCUUUGGUGCUUUCUUUGGCGUAGGAGUCCUAUAUGAUCAGAUGGUCUUAGCCAGAUAUUUUGGCUAA
rnacentral:rRNA from 1 species